rnacentral:rRNA from 1 species
UACGAAGGGUGCUAGCGUUGUUCGGAAUCAUUGGGCGUAAAGCGUGCGUAGGCGGUUUGAUAAGUCAGGGGUGAAAUCCUGGAGCUCAACUCCAGAACUGCCUUUGAUACUGAGAAGCUUGAGUCCGGGAGAGGUGAGUGGAACUGCGAGUGUAGAGGUGAAAUUCGUAGAUAUUCGCAAGAACACCAGUGGCGAAGGCGGAUCACUGGCCCGGUACUGACGCUGAGGCGCGAAAGCGUGGGGAGCGAACAGG